rnacentral:tRNA from 1 species
GGAUCUGUGCCUGAACAAAAGGGCCACUUUGAUAGAGUGUAUCAUGAGGGUUAAAGCCCCUCCGGCUCCU